UACGUAGGGUGCAAGCGUUGUCCGGAAUUAUUGGGCGCAAAGAGCUCGUAGGCGGUUUGUUGCGUCGGCUGUGAAAUCCCGAGGCUCAACCUCGGGUCUGCAGUCGAUACGAGCAAACUAGAGUGUUGCAGGGGAGACUGGAAUUCCUGGUGUAGCGGUGAAAUGCGCAGAUAUCAGGAGGAACACCGGUGGCGAAGGCGGGUCUCUGGGCAACAACUGACGCUGAGGAGCGAAAGCGUGGGGAGCGAACAGG
rnacentral:rRNA from 1 species